AACGAACGCUGGCGGCAUGCCUAACACAUGCAAGUCGAACGAGACCUUCGGGUCUAGUGGCGCACGGGUGCGUAACGCGUGGGAACCUGCCCUUAGGUUCGGAAUAACUCCCCGAAAGGGGUGCUAAUACCGGAUAAUGUCUUCGGACCAAAGAUUUAUUGCCUUUGGGUGGGCCUUGGUUGGUUUGGGGGGUUGGUAGGGUAAAAGCCAACCAUGGGAGCGUUCAUUGGCUGGUCUGUGAGGAGGAUCAUCCAAACUGGCGAUGCGGCACGGCCCAGUCUCCUACGGAGGGCAGCGGUAGGGAAUAUUGUAGGAUGAGCGAAAACCUGAUACAGCAGUGCCGCGUGAGUGAUGAAGGCCUUAGGGUUGUAAAGCUCUUUUACCCGGGAUGAUAAUGACAGUACCGGGAGAAUAAGCUCCGGCUAACUCCGUG
rnacentral:rRNA from 1 species